rnacentral:lncRNA from 1 species
AAAAAAUUAAUACAGUACAGUGUAGUGCCAAACAUUGCACAGUAUUAUUAUAAUACAAUGCUAAUACAAUACAGCAUAAUACAAUACAUCAGCAUUAAAAUAAUGCAAUACAGCAUAAUAUAAUACAGUGUGCCAAACGCACCCAUAGUGUCUUUAAAUGAGAUGGAGAGUAAUUUUCAAUCCACUUAUAUACUUAUGAAUCAAUAGCUGGAGAACUCUACUACCCAUGUACUAACUAAUGGCACUAGUUUUCAUGUCAAUUAAUCAAGAAUUAAGCAAGCAUCAUAGGACCAAAGAAGUAACUUCAAUCCAUUUGGCGAAUGUAAUCUAAAUAAUCAAAGAUAAAUAGCCGGGGUAGCUCAAUUUCCUUUAUGGUGUUUGCAAUGCAUGCUUCUCAUAUAUACAUGUUCUCGUAGCGAUCACAAUGCAUGCUUCUCAUAUAUACAUGUUCUCGUAGCGAUCACAAUGCAUGCCCAUAAUGUGAGCAUAUGUUCUCAUGGCGAUCAAAAUUUACUUUUAUAAAAGAGGAGUUCUUAAUCCAUUCACAUAAAUAGCAUAAAGACCUUAACUCUCAUUGGCGUAAUAAUAAUAGGUGAUCAUUAUCAUCUAUGGCCAUUCAAUAAUUCAAUAUUCAAAAUCCAGCAAACAUGGUGAAUAAAUUAAAGAUGAAACUCAUAAUUAGCAAAAUAACCAAGGCAAAUAAAUUGAUUUCCUACUCUUCUCGAGCUUUUCUAAUAAUCCUUUUGGCUCUUUCUUUGUAAAAUGGCCAAAAACCUCAUGAUUUACCAUUUGUUUUGAAUCAAAUUAGCAAGAUAAAUAGUGAUAAAUGUGGUUGCUUGCCUAUUUUUCAGCAAAAUGGUUGAAAACCCCAUGCCAUUCACUUUGAAUCAAAUUAGCAAGAUAAACUGUGAUAAAGGCGGUGGCUCACCUACCCUUUUGCGAAAUGGUCAAAAAUCUCAUGAUUUGCCAUUUGCUUUAAAUCAAAUUAGCAAGAUGAAUUUUGAUAAAGGUGGCGGCUCGCCUGUCCUUUUUUGAAAUGGUCAAAAACCUCAUGAUCCCCCAUUUAAUUUGAAUCAAAUUUGUAAGAUAAAUAAUGAUAAAGGUGACUGCUCUCCUGCCUUUAUGUGAAAUGGUUCAAAACCUUAUGAUCUGUCAUUUGCUUUAAAUCAAAUUAGUAAGAUAAAUUGUGAUAAAGGUGGCUCCUCACCUGUCCCUAUGUGCAAUGGUCAAAAACCUCAUGAUCUGUUAUUCGCUUUGAAACAAAUCAAUAGGAUAAAUUGUGACAAAGGGGCGACUUGUCUGCCCUUGUAAGUACCUCGAACAUCUUAUUCAUGUGGUUGUCCUUCACUUUUCAAAUUCUUCAUCCCUUACUUUUGCUUAAGCAAGAGAAUGGAGAGUAGUCAUGCACAUAUCAUAGCGGAAUGUCACGGUACUAAGGUAUGACUACUUAUUCUACCCUGGGGUCUUUUUUGGUCAUUCCUCUCAUUCUUCAAACAAUCGCAUUUUACUGAUCUUUCUAAAAAGUUAUUGGUCAUAUCUUUGUAUUCUUUUUGCUAGUUCUUGCCGCGAGCAGUUCCUCAUGAUUAAGAUAGGUUAGGUAUCCUAGCUUAUUAUGAGAUAAUACAAUCUCUCGGCGUUAUACUGCGUUGAAUGAACACCUUUCUCAAUAGUAGCAUAGAGUUAAACUAAUGGAAAAUAUUUUUUUAAUAUCAUUUUAAACUAUUCAUCCACAUUCUAUAAUCAAAAGGUGAAUAAAAGAUCCCACAUCAUCAUAUUCUGAAAAAGAAAUGAAUUCAUAGGUAGUAGAAGCAUGGAUCAUUACACAUCUCAACUUUGCUAUCCCAAAGAGAAAGGGCCCAAGGCCUCUCGUUCUGUCAUUAAAGACUUAAGGAAUUGAGAAGUGCAACUAACUAUUGCAAGGGUACCUUGGAUUCCCCUAAAGUUUUCACACAAUAUUUACAAAUAUAUAUUUAUAUAGAAGCUGACGAUAGCAGGGUACCCUUAUGAUCCUGAAAAGGUCUUUAUACAAUAUUUACUACUACAUAUUCAUAAUAGACUUGACCUCUGCGAGAUAUCCAAUAAGACCCCACAAGGUCUUCAUAGAAUACUUAUAAAUAUAUAUUCAUAAUGAAAUUGACCAUUGCAGGGUUUAUAUGAGUUCCCCAUAAGGUCUUUAUAUAGUACUUAUAAACAUAUAUGAAUGAUGUUAAGACUAAAUAGAGGUGAAGAGAAAUUCCCUGAAAGCACACUUUUAGUUAUAUUUCCAGGCAUUAACUACUCCUUUGAAUUUGGAAGUGCAUCUACAAAAAUCAAUUGUUGCUUCACUGGUUCUCAUUAAUAUGUUUCCUCGCUCAAUGCCCUAGGUCUCUAUCCUUGUAAGUCAUUAGCAAAUUCAGAUGUGGAGUUGGCGAUGACUUGAAUCUAAAUAGCUGAGCGACGUCUGCUUUCUCCUGAUCUAGUAGGUAAAGCUCCAUUUGCCAGAUGUUGGCAUACCUCAAGUACUUCACAUGGUGGUGUUUACAUAUGAAGGUACCUCGAUUGCCCUUUUAUUCAAACAUGACCUAAAUCAAAUUAGCCACCAUUAUGAAUGCUUUUUGUAGCGCUCUCUAUAGACCGCGCCAAUUGUUUUUAUCAAAUUUUCACUAUCAUCCGAUUCUAUCCAAUUCAGUAGUUCUCACCAAAUGCAGCACAAAUCUAAUUCAAACAAAUAAAUUCAUAUUUGAAAGAGUUUGCGCUAAGUUUGGGUUUAUAUGUGCUUAUUUCUUUAUAUGUUUGGGGUAGGUAGUUUAACUAAACUAAUAUGUGUAGCAAGCUGAUGUGGUCAUAUGAGAAAUAAUAGAGAGAGCUUAGUAGAGCCCCAUAGAAGUUGAUAUAGGGACUAAAGUUUUAAGUGUAACUCUAAUGUACUUGGGGAUAAUUGGUAACUCUAUGAAAUUAGAGUUAUUAUGACACUUUUAGACUUAAAUUAAUAAUUUUUAGAUAGUAAAUGACAUGUUUUUAUUGUAUUUUAGUUAUAUUUUGCAUGAAUAUCCAUUUUGCUUAUUUUUAAUAAAUUGCGUUAUUUUAAAAUAAUUUGUGCUUAGAUUAUAUGCAUAUUUGUAGGUGACCGAAAGUUCAAGGGAAAGAAUGUUGCUGCAACAAAUUUGCAUAGAUAAUGAAAGAACUUAGCUAUAGAAGAAUUGAAACAAGUUUGAAACAGUAAAGAUGUUGAAGUCGUUGCUGUAGCAAUCCUAGAGAAAUGACAAAAUAGAUUUCGCAUGCAUCAACUAAAAGAUUACGAUAUAGAGUUUUUUAAAAUGAAGGAUACACGCCAUAUACUUUCGAUUGCCUUAAUUUUGAGUUAUAUAAGGUGCAAACUUGCAAAGGAAAGAGAGAAAGUUGUCACCCAAAGGAUAUACUGCAAAGAAACAAUAAGAAAAAUAUAAAUCAAGAGAUAGAUUAAAGGUUGUACUAGAGGAGAAAUCACAUAGAUCAAUCAUAAAUUAGUUCUUCUUAUCAUUUUCUUAUUUUCUAUUUAUUCGCGGGGAUAUAUUUAAUGGCUGAAACUCUUUUAUUUAAUUUUCUAUCGUAAAUCAUGAACUGAAUUUGAUUGUAGUUGAGUGAUAAAUUAUCUUAAUGGAUGUUUGACUGACAUAUGUGUGUUGCUUUGUGUUUGCUAUAGCAUUUUGUCUUAAUUAUUUUUAUUUUAAUUUCCUAUUUCAGUUGACCACCAAUUUAGUGGAUACUAGCUAAGAAAGAGCCUCGAAAAUGUCUGACUUAGUGGAUCUCAUUAAGACAAUAUUUGGUUUAGAUUGGGUUUCCCAAGUUGAGUUAAUCUCAGUUUGAAUAGGGUCAUACUUAAUCUAAAAUUAAUAAUGAACUAGACAUAGGGAUUCAUCUUGUAGGGUAAAGAAAACCUAAAACAUUUAAUGUUAUAUUUAAUGUUGGCAUAACAAGUGAUCAUUAUUAGGUUGCAUUAGAUAUAAGAAAUCCAACAGGCGACAACUAAGGAUGCAUGGGGGAUUAUGUCCAGUGCUGUAGUAGCUACUGUAGCAACAAUGUUGUAAUUGAAAAAUAGUCAAUGCUAUUAAGUGAGUUUAUUCAUUCAACUACUAUAUUCCCAUUGGUUGCAUCCUUGUGUUUGUCGUGAGAAUUUUCGUUAUUGUGUUUUCAUUUUAAUUAGUUUAUUAAUUUCAUAAAUUGUCUUAUUUUAAUUUAGAAUAAACUGCACUGUUAAGGUUGCUGUAGCAAAUCUGAUAACAUCAAUCCCUAUGGAGACGAUCUGAAUAUUCAUCAAUAUAUUACUUGUUGUGUACACUUGCACAUUGAUAGCCAUAGCAUUAAAGAUCGCACACCAAUAGCUCAGGUGGUCUCAUGGAAUACUUAGCUUAGUUAGGGUAUCUCAAGUAAGCUUAUACGUGAAACACAAUCUGGACUUCAAUGUGAAAAUAUAGCAAAACAAAUAUAAAUGUAAAUAAUACACAAUAUUUAUGUGGUUCGUCCUUUCACCUACAUCCACGGGAGCAAGUAAUCAUCAAUCUACAGUAUAAAUGGGAGGUUACAUGAGAUUUUACAUUGUACAAGAUGAAUAACAUAAGCUAGAUAACUAUAAAAAAUGUUUGGUGUUGCAAUGAUCAAGAUGGUGAAUAAAGAUUUGGAGAGUGAUAAUUAAAGAUGGCCAAUGGGUCGGGCGGCACGUGGCACAGCACGAAACGAGUACGUUUCAGUAAGGCAUGUGCCACGGCACGAUGUGCAUGUAAGCUGGGCCAGGUUUAGAAAUUUAGGCACACGGGCUUUAAAAGUACAGGAUGAUUAGAGAUGUGCUAAAGCACAGUACAUAAAAAAGCACACAAUAAGCAUCUUUCACUUUCUAAUGAAAGUUAAAAAUUUUAUGAUUUUACAAAUAAUUUGAAAUUAGAACUUUUAAUAUAUUUUAUUAACUUAAGUUUUUUAAUUUCAUUUAAUUCUUAGUUUAAAAAAAGCUCUAAUUGAUUUAUGUUUAUAAUUUAUUAAACGAAUAAUUGAUAUCAUGAUUUUAAUAAAUAAAAUUAUAAAUAUAUGAUUUUAUAAAUAUUUAUUAAUAAUAUUAUAGACUAUGAUCUAUGACUCCAUAUAAGUCUAAGUUAACAACUAAGUUAAUCCUUAAGAAAAAUUUAUUAUUGUUGUUAUUGUUAAGUAUUAAAAAAGAAUUCUAAAAUUGUACGGUCUAACUUAGUAACUAGUAUUACAUUCUCGUACUAUUAUUAUUGAAUAUGGACUUGAGUUUUGAGUUUUUAAUUCUAUUGAAUUUGACUAAAAGGCAAAUGGACAUAAAAAAGUACAUAAGGUUGAAAAAAGUAUGUCAACAACUUGGCAUGCCCUCUUAAAAAAUUAUAAAAAUACAAAAAUACUUUUCGUGCUUCUUUUCAACAACACGGCACAACGCGGCACGACCUAAGGCACGACACGCAUGAGCAUGGCAUGAAUGGGAAUGACACGUGCGCCGGGUCGGGCCUAAGCAAAAAAUAAAAAGAAGGCAUGACAUAUCACAACACAAGCACAAGCACAAAUGGGCCUUCCUUUGCUGGCCUGGCCUGUUGGCCAUCUCUAGUGAUAAUAUGGUGGAAAAGAUUAUGAAGGUGGAGAAUAUAAAUGGCCUCCAAAAAUGGAAAAAUUGGUGAUGAUCUAAAAGAUGGAGAGAAAAGAAGAGAGUUUGUGUGAGAUAGAGAAGAGAAAAGAGGAGGCAAGGAGAUGAUCGAAUGAAAGCAUGCCUUAAUAUGAGUGAAUAAGAUAUUUAUAUAGUGCAGGCUAGUGGUAAGGAGACUGCAUAAAAGUUAAGGUUAGAUAUUAUCUUUAGGUUAAAAAGAGAAUGCUUUUAGGGUUAUGUGUCGUAUUUAGGAAAAAAAAGGACAAAAAUAUUCUUUUUGUACUAGAUUUAUUCUUUCUCACAAAUAUUUUAAAGCAUCCAACCUUGAUUAUUGGUUUCUAAUCUAAUCCAAUGUAAUAAAUUCUUCCAAAUGGCAUCUUUAUGCUACUCCAAGUAUUGUGCGUAUUUGUAAUUGUCUACAUGUCAUUCAUUUAUGAGUCCAAAAACCAAAUUUACCCUAGACAUCAACAUUUUUCAAGCAAGAAAUAGCUAGUGGCAACUAUUCAGUCACUCUCCAGCCAAACAUACCUCUGGCCUCAAUCAUGAGUUAGAGUGAUAGCAUAAACAAUGUGGUCAUAAUCUCUGCAAAGAACGAUGAGUUAUAUGACCUAAACUAACAAUAAAAGCACCCAAAAAAUCUUCUUUACUAUCCUAAAACACUCCGCCAUAGGUAACAUGAAUAAUUCUUGCAGCUGUGCACCUUAAACAAUCAACACCAAUAUUGUUAAGAUCUGAAGCUAUGCAAGCUAUUAUCUUAUGGAAUUAGACACUCAAAUCUCCAAUAUCUUUUUGUGGAUUUAAACUUUUAGUAAAUAUUUAUGGUGUGUUUACUAAUCAACAAUCGAAAUGAGAUAAAAUCGGAAUAGAAUAGAAUGAGAAUGGGUUAAAAUCAGAAUCAAGAAUAAGAAUCAAAAUAAAUUAUUUAUUUAAGGUGUAGGAAUCGAAAUCAAAAUGAGAUUCAUUUCUGUUGAUGAAUUUACUUUAUCUUCAAAUUGAAAUAAACUAUUAUAAUUUACUAAAAUACCCUUUAUUAAUUAUUGUCCUUGAUAUUAUUUAGUAUCUAUUAUAACAACAAUAAUAAUAACAACGACAACAACAACAACAUUAAUAAAUUUUAAUAAUGAAAUAAAUAGAUAAAUAAUAGUAACAAUUAAUAAUAAUGAUGACAUUGAUAAAUAAUAACAACAAUAUCAAUAAUAAUAAUAAUAAUAAAUAAAUUAAAGUAAUUAAACAAACUUAUAUUUACAGCAUGAAUAGCUCCAGAAUAAGAAAAUUUUGUCUCUGUGCCGACGACGAAGACAACAAUAACGACAACACUCCUUCAACUGCCACAACCACUGCACAAAGAAACCUCCAUCUUCAUCAAAACCUAAGAAACUAGGUGAUGAAAUCAGGUGGUGGCUGAUCGGUGACAAGCAAUAAAGAUUGCAAUCUGUUGACGAGCUGCUCCGGCUACUAAGUGAUGCGAGAGAAAAAGUGUUGAUUGUUUUUAGGUGAGAGAGAUGAGAUGGGUCGACUGCUAGGUUAGGGCUUUUGGAUUUUUUUUCAAUUUAUUUUUUUCAAUGAAAAAGAGGGCAUUUUUGAAAAACAAAAGAAAAAAACAAUGGGGACAUUUUCGUCAUGGCUGGGAAUGGGAUUGUGAGUCCCAGCCCGCCCCACUCGAAUCACAAUCCUGGUAAUGACUCAUUAUUUUGUGUGGGACCCAUAUAACUCAUUCAUAUUCCUUUCCUUAAUUAAACAAGUUAACAAGUUCUUCAUUCUGAUUCUCAUUGUUGUUUAGUAAACACUCCAUUAGUCAUAAUAUUAUGUUUAUUGUAGUUAUGUAAAAUAUAUGACAGUAUUUCACUUAAUUCAUCUUCAUAAUCAUAUCUUAGAGAGAAUUUGGAAAAGGGAAAAUACAAAAAUCUCCUAUUACUUUGGGAAAUUAUUAUUUUUUCUCCUAUGUAUUUUAAAACUCAUUAGAACUCUUUUAAUAUUAAUUACAAUGCAGAUACAUUUUUAAAGGGUAAUUUAGUCCUUUUAUAAGAGUAAAGUAUAAAUGUUGCUGGAAAAUUGAAUGGACUUUUGCAUUAAUUUUAAAUAAAAUAAGAAGGAAUUAACGAAAUAUUAUUAUGAUGCGUCAAUCAAUCAAUAAUUGAAAUGGGAUAGAAUCAAAAUAAAUGAAUCAGAAUGAGUUGAAUGAAAAUGGAGAAUGAGAAUUAGAAUAUAUUAUUUACUUUAGAUGUAAAAAUCAGAAUUAGAGCAACUAUUUUGCCAUUAAUAUGUUUAUUUUAUUUUAGAAUUAGAAUGGAUUGUUGCGCGUUACUAAAAUGACUUAGUUGAUUAUUGUCAUUAUUUAUUAAAAUAAUUGUGAUUAUUGUUAUUAUUAUUCAAAAUAAUUUUUUUAAUUAUGAUUAUUAUUAUUAUUAUUAAAUGGUAUAAAAAUGAAUUUUUAGUUUUCAUUAAGAGAAUAAAUGUCAUUUCAAUUCUCAUUCUCAUUUUCCAUUCUUAUUCCACAUUCCCUUGGGAAUGGGAUUCCCAUUCCAUAUUCCCAAACUUCUAGGGUUUACUUAAACUUUAUUUCUAUUCCCUCUACUUAUUUCAGAAGUAAAUAAGUUAAUUGAUCUCAUUCCCCUCAUUCUUAUUCACAUUUCGAAUUAAAAAACACAUCAUUAACGUCUUGGGGGUUUUAAAACAUUUGGACCAAGGGGAAUGGAAAUUUUGCCAAACACAAGAGUGUUUAGUUGUGUUCUCAUUAUCUACGUCCACUUGUUCAUUUUCGAAAAACAUAGCGAAAAAGAUGAGUUUGUUUGUAAAAAUCAAUAUCCAUUAGUUUUUUUUAAUGAUUAUAAUUUACAUAUACAUUGGGGUUUAUAGGAACUCUCUCUCUCUCUCUUUGUGUGUGUAAAUAAACACACACAUUUUUUGUAAGGAAAAUUGUGGUAAGCCAAAUAGUAUGAGCAUGAGACCAUGAGAGCUUGCGAGCGCAAUAGGAAGUUUAAUAAGUCAAUUAAGAAUAAUUAUAUGAAAGUAUAAGAGCAUAAGACUAUGAGAAGAUUUUAACUUAGUAGCAAGCUUAAUAAGUCAAUUAAAUAAGGUUACAUGAGUGCAUGUGAGGAUGAUUGUAACACCCUAGGUGAAUCCAACAUUGGCAAAGCACGGGAGAGAUGCUAGAUUUAUAAGGGAUAAUCCACACCUUAAUUGGCAAACCGCUUGUUUGGGUGUAUGGGCGCCAAAGGAACGAAACCGUGCGAGUUUUGUUAAGGUCCAAAACAGAUAAUAUCUUGCUAAGUCUGGGUUGGGUCAUGGAAGAUGGUAUCAGAGCAGCUCUGCGUGUCCUCUUGAGCGAUGAUAGGGCAAACCUCAGCGAGGACACUGAGUCCGUAAAGGGGAUAUGUAUCACCCUCGGCGAAUCCCACAUCAGCAAAAUACGGGAGAAAUGCUGUAUUUUUAAAAGGGUGAUCGACACCGAAAUUGCCGAGACGCGUUUUAGGGUGUGUGGGUACCCUAGGAACAAAACUGUUAGGUCAUGACAGAUAAUAUCAUAGCGGCUCUACGUGUUAAUUUGAGUGAUGGUGGAGCAAUCUCAGCGAGGACGUUGAGUCCCUAAAGGGGUGUACGUAACACCCUAGGCGAAUCUCACAUUGGCAAAGUACGAGAGAGAUGCUAGGUUUAUAAGGGGGUGAUUCGCAGGGGCGGAUUUAGCAUGUGACUAGUGGGGGCUCAAGCCCCCACUGG